GUCGAACGGCAGCACGGGGGCAACCCUGGUGGCGAGUGGCGAACGGGUGAGUAAUACAUCGGAACGUGCCCUGUCGUGGGGGAUAACUAGUCGAAAGAUUAGCUAAUACCGCAUACGACCUGAGGGUGAAAGCGGGGGACCGUAAGGCCUCGCGCGAUAGGAGCGGCCGAUGUCUGAUUAGCUAGUUGGUGGGGUAAAAGCCUACCAAGGCGACGAUCAGUAGCUGGUCUGAGAGGACGAUCAGCCACACUGGGACUGAGACGCGGCCCAGACUCCUACGGGAGGCAGCAGUGGGGAAUUUUGGACAAUGGGGGCAACCCUGAUCCAGCAAUGCCGCGUGUGUGAAGAAGGCCUUCGGGUUGUAAAGCACUUUUGUCCGGAAAGAAAUCCUUUGGGUUAAUACCUCGGAGGGAUGACGGUACCGGAAGAAUAAGCACCGGCUAACUACGUGCCAGCAGCCGCGGUAAUACGUAGGGUGCGAGCGUUAAUCGGAAUUACUGGGCGUAAAGCGUGCGCAGGCGGUUUUGUAAGACAGGCGUGAAAUCCCCGAGCUCAACUUGGGAAUGGCGCUUGUGACUGCAAGGCUAGAGUAUGUCAGAGGGGGGUAGAAUUCCACGUGUAGCAGUGAAAUGCGUAGAGAUGUGGAGGAAUACCGAUGGCGAAGGCAGCCCCCUGGGACGUUACUGACGCUCAUGCACGAAAGCGUGGGGAGCAAACAGGAUUAGAUACCCUGGUAGUCCACGCCCUAAACGAUGUCAACUAGUUGUUGGGGAUUCAUUUCUUCAGUAACGUAGCUUACGCGUGAAGUUG
rnacentral:rRNA from 1 species